AAUUAUAAAACGUAAAAUUUGCAAACGGUAUUACGUAACCGGUAACCCAAUUUGCCACGGUUAACUUUUAAUGCGGUUAUAUUGUGGUCCCCAUUUUUUUUUGGGUUAUAAAAGGACCGGGAACCAAUAUUUUCCUAUUGGGACAAAACUUCUUUAACAAGGUAAAAGCCAUUUUAAAUAUAAAUUUAGAUUCGGCCGUCCUUUAUAAUUAUUAUAAAAAGGUAUUAAAAGUGAAAUUUCUAAACCAAUAUUAGGACCACGUCCCAUUCCGGAAAAAUAAAGGAAUUAAAAUUGUUCCUGUUUUUUAUAAAAUGCCGAAAAAAACAAAUAAGCGAAUUAGGUUUGAAAAAAAUAACGAUGCUAUUUUUAACAAAAACGAGGAAAAUAAUUAUUUUCGUAAAAAUAAUCGAGACGUUAUAUUUAUUAAAAAAGCUAUAAAAAUUAAAAAAGGAAAAAUUCAACGUCAGGAAUUAUACCCCGCAUCUCUAACAAUUUCCAAACAUUAUUAAAUAAUAAAAUAAAAAGGAUUGGAUUCGUAAAUAUAAUUUCUUUUAACGAACAUCCAAUGGUUUAGAACCAGAACUACGGAAUUAAAACGACGGGGACUCCGGGAAAAAUAUCGGACAUGCGAAUAGAAAAUAACCCGCUGGAACCCGAUAUUAUCGAAAUGGAUUGGGACCCGAUAAUAACUACGGAAAAAUAAAAACAAAGGAUUUAAAAAAUUAUGGACCAUUAUAACGUAAGGGAUUAUAUUACAAUUUUUAAAAAAAUACCUAAUGCAAAAAGCGAUCCACGAAAAAUUAAAAAAAAACCGCAACAGCGAUUAUUAACGAUCGAAAUUUAAAAUAUUAUUAAUAAAUGGUUCGAUACGGUUAAUAUAAAAAUUGGGAACGUUGCAAAUAUUUUUAAAAAACAAACUUUCGUAAAAAGAUUUUAUUAUAUAUGGAAAAACUGUUUCGUCCAUAAUUUAUAAAAAAUUAAAAUUAUUAACCUAAUUUAGCACAAUAUUUUCCUAAAACCAAAAAAUAUUCCUUUACAAUUAAAAUAAUAUCGAUAUAGCAAAAAAUAAACAAAAUGGUUUUAUAAAAUUGCAAUUAAUAUGGAAAAAAUUGGUAUUAUUAUAAAAUCGAACAGCCCGUGGAUUUCGCCCACCCUUUUACCCCCCAAAUAUAUAAUACCCGGUUAUAACCCUAAAUUCCGGAUGGUAUAUAAUUACAAAAUUCUUAAUUUUUGGACCGUAAAAUAAUAAUAUCCUACGCAUUUAAUAAUAACCGAUAUCGAGGCGAUAACCCAAAAAAAUUAUAAAAUGUAUUGCAAAUUAAAUAUUUUAAAUAAUUACUGGGAAAUCCCGAUUAACCCCGAAUAUAUUUAUUUUACAAUAUAGAAUGGACCUAAUAGUUAAUUCGUUUAUACAAUUUGCCCAUAAAGGACCAAAUAUUCGAUAAAUACGUACGCCAGGUUUGGGGAUUUUAUUUUUGGAUGGUUGUUUAUUUAUAUAAUUGGUGGAAUCGAAUUUAAAAAACACAAAUUAAUCCUGGGGACGGAUAAAAAAACGGGCUGCAUUUUAGUUUUUUAUAUCGACGACCAUAUUAUAUUAGGAAAAAAUUUUAACGCCCUGUUCCGUUUUAUAUACGAAAAAUAUAUACCGAGGGUGGUUUUCGGACCAAUCCCGUUAUUAGCCAAAAAAACGGUGUUUUUCUCAAAAUUAAUAAAAACCACGGGUUUUUAUAUUAAAAAAAAAAGGAUUUACCCUAUUAAAAAAUUCAGGAACAAAUUUUCCUUAUUCGCGGAAAAAUGGAGGAAAACGCCCCCGAUUUUUUAAAAGGACGUACAGGCAAUUUUAUUUAUUACCCCUUUCUUAAAAAUUUUUAUCCCGGGCAGGGCCACCCUAAUCGACAAAAUUAAAAUAGUUUUUUUCGACCGAAUCCCGAAGGUAAUUAAAAUAAAGAAAAAAUUUGUUAAUUGUAAAUAAAUUAGAAAAACUAAACUUACCUGGGGAUAAAAACAUUUUAAUGUUUUUAUUCUUAUUUGUAAUUCGAUUACAAAUAAUGCGGUAAAAGCCAUUAAUUUUUCCAGGCCGUUAUAUCUUGCUACCGAUAUAUACCCGACAGGUUUCGGGGCGAUCCUGUUCCAAAUACCAAAAAAAUAUAAAAUUUAUAAUAUAAAAUAUUUUAAUAAAAUACAAAUAAAUAUAUUUAUAAAUUUCUUUUUUUAUAACGAGCAAAAACGUUAUUCGAUA
rnacentral:sRNA from 1 species